rnacentral:rRNA from 1 species
GAUAAACGCUGGCGACGUGCUUAACACAUGCAAGUCGAACGAAGUUUUUCCUUCGGGAGAAACUUAGUGGCGGACGGGUGAGUAACGCGUGGGUAACCUGCCCUGUACAGGGGGACAACAGCUGUAAACGGCUGCUAAUACCGCAUAAGCCCUUAGCACUGCAUGGUGCAUAGGGAAAAGGAGCAAUCCGGUACAGGAUGGACCCGCGUCUGAUUAGCCAGUUGGCAGGGUAACGGCCUACCAAAGCGACGAUCAGUAGCCGAUCUGAGAGGAUGUACGGCCACAUUGGGACUGAGACACGGCCCAGACUCCUACGGGAGGCAGCAGUGGGGAAUAUUGCACAAUGGAGGAAACUCUGAUGCAGCGACGCCGCGUGAGUGAAGAAGUAUUUCGGUAUGUAAAGCUCUAUCAGCAGGGAAGAAAAUGACGGUACCUGACUAAGAAGCACCGGCUAAAUACGU